rnacentral:lncRNA from 1 species
UAGACAAGCUCACCUGCACUCAUACGCUCCAUCUCAUCUCGCUCUCUGCACACCGGUCACCGGAGUAAACACCGGCCGAUUUUCCGGCUGGUUACCAGUAAAUCACACCCACCAAACAUCUUUCCUCCUCCUCCCUCUCUCACAACCAUACACCCCAGCCCCCAUUCGCUCUAAAACAAACCGGCCACCACCAACGGUGGUGGCAUACGGCGACGAGAACGGAGAGAGAUGGAGCAGAGAACGGGGAGAGAGAGAGGCAGAUGAGCGGCAGGGGUCUCCGGCGGCGGCGAUCUCCGUAGCUGAUAUCGAUGAUGAGGAUGAUGAUGAGGGCUAACUGGCGAGCGGCGGCGACUAACGGCGAGCUCCGGUAACCGCGGUUCCUUCUCCGGUAAGCUCCUCGACUUCUUUUCAUUUUCUAUUUGAUCCUGUUCGAUCCGUGUCUUCCGGCCUGUUUUGAUGUCGAUUCAGGAUAUUGAUGAUGAUGUCCGAGAUGAUGAUGGCUGCCGGUGACAGGGAUGGUGCUGUCGUAUACUCGUAUGGAAGCUGUCCCUAAUAUAUUAAUCAUGUUGGCAAGGUCUUUGGGACACAGUAACUUUACUCCAAAGCUUUAAUCAUACGAUGGAUACUGAUCAACAUGCCACUAUAUAUAUAAAACUAUAAGUACGUGUCGAUCAUUCUCGGGUGUGGGUUCAGUCAAAACCAGUCAACAAAUCAGGUUGACUGGUCAAAGCGGGUCAGUGGUGGUCAACGGCAAGACUUGGUGCGUCACGGUUCGGGUCUCGGCUCGAAUCUUGAUUCAGUUUUCGACAAGUCAAACCGCGGUCAACAAAGUCAGAUUCGGUUCGGGUCAGCGCGAGUCAACACAGUCAACGGUCAGUUACGGGUUUUCGGCUCGGUUUCGGGUCUUGCUCAAAGGCAGUCAACGAGUCAAUGGUUCGGACAAUUCAGUCAACGCAAGUCAACUCUAGUCAACCAGUCAACUGUCGGGUCAACUGGUCAAACGCAAGACGCGGUAAAGUUUAAACGACGCGAAAUUCUUUUUUAUCUAUUUCGUUGUUAUGAAAAAUUUUAGUUUACGCGACCGAGCUCGACCCGAAUCGAUUAAAUAUUAGUUACUUUUGAUUCAUUUGAUGAAAAAUUAUACAUAUAGUGU